AGCCCGAUGUCGGAAUUAGUUAGUUGGCGGGGUUAAGGCCCACCAAGCGACGAUCCGUAGCUGGUCUGAGAGAUGAUCAGCCACACUGGAACUGAGACACGGUCCAGACUCUUACGGGAGGCAGCAGUGGGGGAUAUUAGACAAUGGGCGCAAGCCUGAUCCAGCCAUACCGCGUGGGUGAAGAAGGCCUUUGGGUUGUAAAGCCCUUUUGUUGGGAAAGAAAUCCAGCCGGCUAAUACCUGGUUGGGAUGACGGUACCCAAAGAAUAAGCACCGGCUAACUUCGUGCCAGCAGCCGCGGUAAUACGAAGGGUGCAAGCGUUACUCGGAAUUACUGGGCGUAAAGCGUGCGUAGGUGGUCGUUUAAGUCCGUUGUGAAAGCCCUGGGCUCUAACCUGGGAACUGCAGUGGAUACUGGGCGACUAGAGUGUGGUAGAGGGUAGCGGAAUUCCUGGUGUAGCAGUGAAAUGCGUAGAGAUCAGGAGGAACAUCCAUGGCGAAGGCAGCUACCUGGACCAACACUGACAACUGAGGCACGAAAGCGUGGGGAGCAAACAGGAUUAGAUACCCUGGUAGUCCACGCCCUAAACGAUGCGUAACUGGAUGUUGGGUGCCAUUUGGCACGCAGUAUCGAAGCUAACGCGUUAAGUUCGCCGCCUGU
rnacentral:rRNA from 1 species